AAACUAUUUUGAUCCAUAAAAAUCCUUGCAACUUGAGGUUCUUUAGCCAAAGUUGAGUUUAGGCAAAAUGGAAAUUGUGAUGACGUUUAUCCUCUAUAUUUGACCUCAUGACAUUAAAAUUUCUCCCCACUUAGAGAAGGAACCAAAUCCCAGUACUCACAGGAAGUCUUCUGUGGGCUGAGUGGGGAUGGUCGGACCUUGCAGCUUCUUUGAAGGCAUUUUUGAUGGAAUUUGAUCAUCAAUCAUUUUAGCCUUUGAUUGAAGAACAGAAGCUCCUCCUGGGCCCUUAAGCCUCUUUGUAGCAUGAUAAUGUUUUGUCCCCUAAGAAAGUGGUGCUUUGAUGUUUGUUUGCAUGUCCCUGAGCCGGGGAUUGGGGUUGAGACCUCAGGGGACUUCCCUCCAGAGGAUCCCGAAUCUACAUAGAUGCCAGCUUCUGGAUGAUCCCAGCCUCUCACAGUGGUUUGGUACCACUCACUUGGGCUGCAAACAAACCGAAACAGCAGCUAAACUGCCUUUACGCUUAUUCCAUAGCCUCAGGAAAUCUGUUCCUCUUUGAAAUCUGAGGUCUUCAGAGACCAAACAGCUUUUCUUUUCUUUCUCAGGCUUCAAAAAUCUGGUGGUUGAAGGCACUUCCGAAUUAAGAUCUCAUAUUUCCCAAGAAACCAGGGCCAUGAUCGGCUGGUUGGGCCAGAAGGAAUGAAGACAUUUCAUGGUCCUCAGGGGUUUAUGCCAGCUGAGGAGUUUUCACGUUAUACAGUUUCUUGUGUAAAAUGAAGAAGAUAAUAGGAUCAACUAACUCCAAAGAGUUGGUCUGAAGAUUAAAUAAGUUAACUUCAAGUAAAGCUCUUGGAGCAGUGCCUGCCGUAUUACUACUAAUAAUAGGCAAUUAAGACUUGUUCCCAUGAAGCUGGAUGAAGAGCCUGGGUUUAUGAAAACAAUUGUGUCCCCACAGUGAAAUCACACUUUCACAGAGAAACUUCUGUAGGAUACCACCAUUCAGCUAUCCAGAUCCAAGCCCAAGAGUCCUACCUCCUGUUCAUGACAUGGGACUUCUCAGUUGUUCUGUGAUUAUUUCAUGAGCUAAGAAUGUGUGUGUGUGUGUGUGUGGAGGGUGGGGUGGGGUGGAUGAUAUUUUUGUAGUGUAUUUAACCAGAAAAAAGUUAGUGUGUAUAUGUCUGUGCGUGUGUGUUUAUAUAAAACACUCAUUUUAAACUUCCUACAAAUCAGUGAGAGAAAGUUGGACAACCCAAUAAAAAUACAAAAAUUAAAUUAACCAGUCUAUUGCUCAUGUUAAUUUGGUUUAGCUCUAGUUUGGGGUAAAUAUGAACAAUGCUGGUGUCAACACUUUUGUCAUGUAUUUUUAUGACAUUCAUACACUCAGUUCUCUAAGGUAUGUACAUUUUAAGGUGUCAUUGCUGAAUUAUAGGUUAUACACAGUUUCGACUUUACUAAAAUUUCCAAAGUGAUUGUGCCUAUUUAUACUCUCAUUAAACAGUGUAUG